CUUCUUCUUCUUCCUCCUCCACUGGACUGUCAGCCCCUUUCUUCUUCAACCAUUUCCUCUCUCUUUCUCUCAUGAGAAACUGAAUUUUCUUCUUCCUUUGAUUCCUUUGCCGAAUCAAAACCCUCCCAUGGCGAAAACCCUCAUUUCAUCUUCACCUUUCGUCGGUUCUUCUCUCCCAUCCCUUUCUCGCCAUGUUCCUCUCCGGAGACACCUCACCACCAGAGUCAAUUUCAGCUUCCAUGAACUUCCCCCUAUCCAUUCCUUUCAUUCUUCCUUCGAUUUUCCAGCAAUUUUUAGCAGAGCCGAAGGCCUGCUCUAUACACUUGCUGACGCUGCCGUUGCAGUGGAUUCUACUGUUUCAGGUGGCGCCACAUCUACUUCUCCUGAUAUUACGGUGCAGAAGAAUGGUGGAUGGUUUGGAUUUAUCUCCGAGGCCAUGGAAGUGGUUCUUAAAGUGUUGAAGGGUGGCCUUGAGGCUGUGCACGUCCCGUAUUCAUAUGGAUUUGCAAUUAUCUUACUUACUAUUAUCGUUAAAGUUGCAACUCUUCCUCUAACUAAGCAGCAGGUUGAGUCGACAUUGGCUAUGCAAAAUCUUCAACCGAAGAUCAAAGCUAUCCAACAAAGAUAUGCAGGCAAUCAGGAAAGAAUACAACUUGAGACAUCACGGCUUUAUAGGCAAGCAGGAGUUAACCCUUUGGCAGGCUGUUUACCAACUUUAGCCACCAUACCUGUUUGGAUUGGCCUAUAUCAGGCUCUUUCUAAUGUGGCAAAUGAGGGAUUACUGACUGAAGGUUUCUUUUGGAUUCCCUCUCUUGGUGGACCAACUACUAUUGCUGCUCGACAAAGUGGAGCUGGUAUCUCUUGGUUGUUGCCUUUUGUGGAUGGCCAUCCACCAUUGGGCUGGUCUGACACUGCAGCAUACCUUGUAUUACCUGUUCUCCUUGUCGUAUCUCAGUACGUAUCGAUGGAAAUCAUGAAGCCUCCCCAGACUGAUGAUCCAGCACAAAAGAACACACUCCUUAUUUUCAAGUUUCUUCCCCUCAUGAUCGGUUACUUCUCAUUGUCUGUUCCAUCCGGAUUAUCAAUUUACUGGUUCACGAACAAUGUUCUUAGCACAGCUCAGCAAGUAUGGUUACGCAAAUUAGGAGGUGCAAAGCCUGUUGUAAAUGAGAAUGCUCCUGGAAUCAUAACAGCCGGACGUGCCAAACGAACGCCCGAAUCAGAAAGAACGGGUGACAGGUUUAGGCAAUUAAGGGAAGAUGAGAAGAAGAAUAAAUUAAGCAAGGCAGCUCGAUCUGAAGAUAUUCAAACUUUGGCUUCUGAGUCCGAUACUGAGGAUGGGUAUGAUGGGGAGACAACUGAGAAGGGUGAGGACAGUCUAGAAGAGGCAUAUGCAUCAAGUGACAAAGACAUCCCAGCCUAUAAUCGACAAAAGAGAAGCAAGCGAUCAAAGAGGAAACGCGCAGUGUGAAAGAUUAUACACUGAUAUAUUUGUAGCUUAUGAAUUCAGCAAUGCAGCUUACUUGUGUAAGAAGAAACAAAUGGAUGCUUUGGUCAUUUGGUUGAUGGAGGCAGAUGAUUCCCCUUUGGAUUUGGCACUGAUGGCUUUUUAUAAACUCUCUUCUCAAUUGCCUGCUUUCAAUCAUCAUAACAAUGAACACACAGUCUCAGUGGAAGAUCAAACCGUCGAUGUUUAGGAUAGUAAUGGAUAGAGCCAUGCUUGAUCUUUAGAAUACUAAUGGGUGGAGAAUUGACUGAUGCUUUUGAGGUUUCAUUUGAUGUAAAAGAUAUAAAAAUAUACCGAUAUAUAGAUGCAUCACAUUUAUUUCUCGAA